UGCGCGCGAUUCGCCCUUAGAGUUUGAUCCUGGCUCAGAUUGAACGCUGGCGGCAGGCCUAACACAUGCAAGUCGAGCGGAAACAGAGAGUAACUUGUUACUUUGCUGUCGAGCGGCGGACGGGUGAGUAAUGCUUGGGAAACUGCCCAGUCGAGGGGGACAACCAUUGGAAACGAUGGCUAAUACCGCAUACGCCACUUCUUGUAAAAGGGAAGUGGGAAAGAAGGGGACUUAUUUAUAAGCCUUUCGCGAUUGGAUGUGCCCAAGUGGGAUUAGCUAGUUGGUGAGGUAAAGGCUCACCAAGGCGACGAUCCCUAGCUGGUUUGAGAGGAUGAUCAGCCACACUGGAACUGAGACACGGUCCAGACUCCUACGGGAGGCAGCAGUGGGGAAUAUUGCACAAUGGGCGCAAGCCUGAUGCAGCCAUGCCGCGUGUAUGAAGAAGGCCUUCGGGUUGUAAAGUACUUUCAGCGAGGAGGAAAGGGUGUAGUUUAAUAAACUACAGCUGUGACGUUACUCGCAGAAGAAGGACCGGCUAACUCCGUGCCAGCAGCCGCGGUAAUACGGAGGGUCCGAGCGUUAAUCGGAAUUACUGGGCGUAAAGCGUACGCAGGCGGUUUGUUAAGCGAGAUGUGAAAGCCCCGGGCUCAACCUGGGAACUGCAUUUCGAACUGACAAACUAGAGUUUUGUAGAGGGUGGUAGAAUUUCACGUGUAGCGGUGAAAUGCGUAGAGAUCUGAAGGAAUACCAGUNGGCGAAGGGCGGCCACCUGGACAAUAACUGACGCUCAUGUACGAAAGCGUGGGGAGCAAACGGGAUUAGAUACCCCGGUAGUCCACGCCGUAAACGAUGUCAACUAGCCGACUGGCGCCUUGAGCGCUGGGUGGCGCAGCUAACGCAUUAAGUUGACCGCCUGGGGAGUACGGCCGCAAGGUUAAAACUCAAAUGAAUUGACGGGGGCCCGCACAAGCGGUGGAGCAUGUGGUUUAAUUCGAUGCAACGCGAAGAACCUUACCUACUCUUGACAUCCACGGAAUUUAGCAGAGAUGCUUUAGUGCCUUCGGGAACCGUGAGACAGGUGCUGCAUGGCUGUCGUCGGCUCGUGUUGUGAAAUGUUGGGUUAAGUCCCGCAACGAGCGCAACCCCUAUCCUUAGUUGCCAGCACGUAAUGGUGGGAACUCUAGGGAGACUGCCGGUGAUAAACCGGAGGAAGGUGGGGACGACGUCAAGUCAUCAUGGCCCUUACGAGUAGGGCUACACACGUGCUACAAUGGCGCAUACAAAGGGUUGCGAAGCCGCGAGGUCGAGCCAAUCCCAAAAAGUGCGUCGUAGUCCGGAUUGGAGUCUGCAACUCGACUCCAUGAAGUCGGAAUCGCUAGUAAUCGUAGAUCAGAAUGCUACGGUGAAUACGUUCCCGGGCCUUGUACACACCGCCCGUCACACCAUGGGAGUGGGCUGCACCAGAAGUAGAUAGCUUAACCCUUCGGGGAGGGCGUUUACCACGGUGUGGUUCAUGACUGGGGUGAAGUCGUAACAAGGUAUCCGUAAAGGGCGAAUCGUAACC
rnacentral:rRNA from 1 species